GAAAGUCGACCUCAAUCUCGAGGGAGGUCGCGGCUCAAGAAAACCCUAGGCUCUCGUGCACUUCAAUCUAAGGCCCGGUCGCGGGUCUUAUCGGCAGCAGCGAGGUCAUAGCGAUUGCGAAGGGAAAAAAAAGGCGGAGUGAUAAGAAAAAUCUGCCGUAACGCAGCGAUAAAAUUUAGCUGCGAAAAAGAUCGCCCGGACACCGCUCGACGGAGCAGCGAGUGGUUCGAUCAUUUAGCGAAUUUAGAAAGCUGAAGACGGACCGCUCGGGGUGAUCUCGACUGAGAAAAGGGGGCUAACGAAUUUCACGGGUUGGACGAGGGAGAGUUAAAAGUGACCUUCGCGGGGUCGCGGAGAGAUCACGAUCGAACGAAUCAGCUGUCGCAUCAGAGCGUCGCGCCGCGCGCGAACGCGACCUCCUUACACUUUCUCAUGACUGCAAUUAAAGAUUAACAAGUCGGGACGCAACUUGCGUGGACAUUGUCAUUCGUUUCGUUAGCACAAAAGGCCUCAAUGGCGCGGCGCGCAAAGACUGACGUGUCAAUGUCAACGCACUCGGCUUUCGGCAUCGACGAUUGAACUUCGCAGACGCCGUAACGAGCCAAUAAAGGUCAGAAGAGCAGCGGUCGCGACGGGAACGGGUUUUUUUUUCUGGAAUUUCAACGACGCGACCAACGUCGCAAGGUUUGCGGACAAGCCGAAUGCAAACUUGACGCCUAAUGAACGUAGGAUACGUCGCGACAUGGUUUAAAAUAACGCCGAUAGAAAUCCGACCUCGCUAUUGACGCACGUCCUCGACUUCGGCGCGAAGGUUCCCUUUCGGCUCCUUAUUUGAAAGUAAGAGCGCACUCGAGGCACCCAAGGCCCCUCCGCGCACACAUGCAUAUGCACGGACCGCAACUAAAGGCGAGCGAUCGCGAAAGCGAUAAUAUAAGAGGCGUGGUAAGGAGCGAGAUAAGGAGCGUGCACACGGCUGUGCAUUGGAAAAUUUAUGCUUAUCAAAUCCGCGACUGUGCGGCGAGCGACCCGGCCCUAACGAAAGCGGACGCCGACACGCGCGCGGCACCAGAAACAGAAACGAGGUCGAGUACGUGCGGUUUUAUAAGCGUGGGUUGACCUUAAAUCAUCGCGCGGAACGUAAACGCGUCAUGUACCUGCGUGCAAAGGUACGCCCGACAGAUGUCCAUUUUAUUCUUCAAGAUACCUUGUCGUUUCGCGCGUUUCGAGUGGAAAGCGGAGACUCUAAGGCUGAUGACAGACAACUAUCCGUAAGCGCUUACGGACUUACGUAAGCCGUAGACUUAAGGUAAGGCAGAGAAAAACGUAAGUCCGUAAGCGCUUACGGAUGGUUGUCUGCCAUCAGCCGAUCUCUUCCACGUUGACGCAAUUUUUCGAGAAGGGCUCGCCUUGCUAAAAAAUAUACGCACGUACACUGAGAAAACUUUCCAUCGGAUAAACCGAUUACAUAGCGUUUCCGACGGUUAAUUUUUGCAAUUACGUUUACCGAUUAAAUUAUGGAUACAUCCGAUGAAGUUGAUCCGAAGAAAUGCAGUUAUCGUUGAAAUUUGAUCGAAAAACCGAUUACAUUUUUCAUCGGAUCUUAGCCGUUUGUUAUUAUGCAACUGGAUUAUCCGAUUACAUUUAAUCGGGCAUUUUUCUCAGUGUAGAAUCAAUCAAGAACAGAUGAGCUCUCGCCUUGGCGGCUCGGUCUCUUACACGUAAUUGCCGUUCUCCCGCGUUGCGAAAUCUGCGAGUCCCUGGCGAGGAACGCAGAUACCGCGAUCGGUUACUCCGCGAAACUUCGCGGAAUUGCCAUCAUAAACGGUUUCAUCAAUUCGAGUAAUACCCGUCGUGCGAUUAGUAAGUUUGCUCUAGGUCCACUUAUCAGCCGCUGGCAGCUUCUCUAUUGGGGAGAGCCGCGUAAAAUAUCGCGAGAGCUCUGCUUCGCAAUCAUAAAUCUCAUCUUGAAGGGCUGAUACGUGGAUCUUCGAGCUACUCGAUAAAUAACACGAGUAAGUCUGCAUCUCGAGCUCCCGAGAGACACACGUUUCUUUCUCCCUUUUUUCUUUACCAAUUCGAAUCCUUAAAUAUCAGAUACGUCUAAAUAAUUUCGACAAGUUAAUCUUAAUCGCUUAAUUAAAUUAAUUAUAUUACAAUCAGCGAAAAUAAAUGGAGAUUGCUAAAUAAACCCGCGCGAUUAAGUCGAACGUGAUAAUUUGGAGAACAAAUACGCUGAUUAGAUUGUCGCGUAAUGGAACUUUAUUAUUCGAUUGCUCAAUCAAUGUUAAUUAAUAUUUUUCGCGAGCCCCGAAAAAUCUGUACGAGAUAGCGACGCUUCUACUACGUUGACAGUGUAAAAGCUAUGGUCCGCGGCAAUUUAUCAUGUAAUUUAUUUGUUAGAAUGUAACCAGUUCGAUAACCGGCACAGUCCGCGCGGCAAGACACAAAAUUUUCCAUUAGGAUAAUGCUUAGGAAAACAAAGUAAACAUGACUGUAUGUUUUAUCACUACUUCCGAUAAAACGUCAGCCCUACUCUACUCUACUACUAGCUCUACUAUGGAAAAAUCCUAUGGAAAAAUCCUAUGGAAAACGGUUGACAAGAUCGAUCCUGAAAGAGUUCUGUGGCCACACGUAAAUUUGGUUUAUAAAUUCCUCCAGGCCCAUAAGUAUUGUAAAAUAAUGUAUACAGUAAAUGGAAAAUUCCAAAAUCCCUGCGGACAUCCUGCCAUUGUCUUGAGCUCGAAUGUUUUGCAAUUAAAAUGACGAUUCGUCACGGGCAAGUUCCUAAGUUACGAUUUGGAACGAAGCAAUGUUAUAUAAUAUAGGCAGAUCGCGUUACUGGAAUUUAAGUUUAUUUUAUAUUUUGCAGAGCCACUAUUUAGAGAAUCGGUGCCAAGAUGCGUGGUCUCUCGGAAGAAGAUCCAAAAUAGCUGACGCUUUCGGCGGCUGGUCAGUGACCGACGCUGACCGAUGCAUUUCGCAAUUCUUAUAAUAUACGAAACAAUACAGCGCUUCCACAUACAACAAAUGCCCAUAUAAAUGUAUUAAGAAAGAAAACAAUAGAAUCUUUUAAACAUUGA